UACGAAGGGUGCUAGCGUUGUUCGGAAUCAUUGGGCGUAAAGCGAGUGUAGGUGGUUAUUUAAGUCAGAUGUGAAAUCCCUUGGCUCAACCAAGGAAGUGCAUUUGAAACUAAUUAGCUAGAAGAUGGUAGAGGAAGGUGGAAUUCCAAGUGUAGAGGUGAAAUUCGUAGAUAUUUGGAGGAAUACCUGUGGCGAAGGCGGCCUUCUGGGCCAUUCUUGACACUGAGACUCGAAAGCGUGGGUAGCAAACAGG
rnacentral:rRNA from 1 species